UUGUUGUUUGCGAUACCAGUUGUAAACAACGCAUUGGGCAGUACAACAUAUAUCACUUAUUUAACUUCACAAAAACAAAACAUCUUGGAUAAUGACAUUGUCAUCAAGUCAAGGUUGGUGAAGAUCGUCCGACUUUCUGAGCUGAAAAUCUGAUUACAGGGGGGCGUUCCAGAUGAAUUUCCGACUCGGAGCUCAGAUAUCCCAACUUCCAAGUACAACAGGAAUGCAGCAUAAUGGCUAAAACCCACAGGAUCUGGAACGGCGGCGCUUCACUCCAGCACGGCAGGCGGAUCAAAUACUGAUCGGCGGAUCUCACUCAAUAAAGGAAACAUGGGAGAUGUCGUCCAGUCUCGUGAGAAAUAUCGGUAAUCUUGCGAGUGCUUCCAGCGGACGUCGUAUGCUUGCGUAUUUGAUCUGCCUCCUGAUCCGGGGCAGAGUGGAGCCAUUCCGGAUCCAGUGGGAUCCCCGGGUAAGACUUGACUUUGGAACGACUAGGAGGCCUCCUCAAAUUUAAAGAUUCAGACCGGUUCAUUGGGGUUUAUAAUUCUGUAAGGUAGCUUGGAUCCCCAGAAGUGCUUUAAAAGUGAUGAACAAAAUCUGAAACUCAAUCGUAAAACUGACAGGGAGCCAGUGAAGGGACACUUAAUAACUGUUAAACUGUUAAAAACGUAUUACGAGAAGGUGAAGAAUGAGAUUGAGGUUAGUCCUCAUCCUCAAAAUGAAGGUUGUAGACCCGUUUGUCAUUAUUUCAGAGCUGCAGGUAAGUGUCUCAGAGUUAGACUUCUUUAUGCAAUCACUCUUAAAUAACAGUGGACGGUAGAAAUGAUCAAUUUUUAUAAAACUACUGUUGUACUCGUGCUUCUAAAACUGGUGUGAGCGAGUCACAAAUCCAAUCCAAAUUGGUCUUUUUUUACUAUAACCCUGCAGUGUAAUGUAUGUACAUAUCUUUUCACCAGAGGAGUAAUUCAAAGCUCUUCGAUUCUUCUUAGACAGACACUGUGCAUCCAAUUUUCUACAAAAGCAUAAAAGCCUGUUUUAUAUAAACAAUAUCACCCUGAAUAUUAACAGCCAGAACUGUUUACCUGUUCGAUGUGAGAGGACGUAGAGAACAAAACAGUUCACUCAUUUGAAAAAGUUCUGGGCAAAUGAUCUGCACGUACUGCUAUUCUGUUAUUUCACACCUGAACUGAGGCGAACGCAGCCAGAAAUGAAAAAUAUGUUUUUCACUGAAUAUGACAAAAAGAGAAAGUCUGCGUCAUGAUGCUUUCAAAUGCAUGCUGUAUUGUUUUUUAUAAGUAAGUAGCACUUUGCAUGCAGAGGGAUCCUUGAAACAAUGUCAGGAGGAUCUGCUCUUUCCGGCUCAUGAAUGCAUCAUUUACUCUUGUACAUAAAUGAACUGAGCAACCUUUGACCUUAGGGGAAACAAAACUGUCAGCCAGAUUUAACUGCAAACUGAAGUUCCCAAUUUGCACACCAAGUGUUCACACUACAAAUAAAAGCAUUAAUUUCAACUGAUUUAACAUCCAGCAUGAUCAAAUGUGACGCCAACAUGCUUGAAUCGAGUCAGAAGAUCACCAUGCGUUCACCACAUAAUGUGCAAAAGAUGCUGCAAUACCUAAUUGCACCUGUGGGGGCAGUGUUGCACCUCAGUUGGAUCUGAAGAAAUGAUAAAAAGAGGAGGACAGCAGGCAUGAAGUAGAGGAAGGUGAGGUGACAGGAGGUGUUGUGCUCCUCUCUGGGGAGGAGCUCUCCAGACGCAGGAGAAAAAAGAAGGAGGGAGAGGGAGAGAUGCAGCUUGGAUCAGGCUGUCAGCUCGGGGCACAUCUAAUUGAAUACGCGAUGCCAUUUGAAGUGGAGAGCAGAGCUGGAGCAGAGAAGAGAAGCAAAGCGUGGGGCAGGCGCAGCAGGAGAGCAGCCUUCACCAAACAAAAAGACAAAUCAAAGAGUGAACACAGGAGAUUCUCCAACAGAUAGUCCUGAUUGCCGCUCUGUGCUCAACAUCUCCCCGUAUUCUGUGUUUGCAAGAGGAAUAGGUGGAGGGGUGAAGGAGAAAGAGCAAAAAAAAAGAGCAAUUUCCUCGCUUAAAUUAUCAUUUUCAGCCUGAUUUGAAAACACACAAAGAGGCUAAAAAAAGGACGCAGGCUCGAACCUUGAUUUAGAGCAGGUUAAACGACCUCAGACUCGGCUUUGGAGAUUCGCUGAAGGCAGAAUGUGUGGGUGGAGGUCAGCGGCUGUUUCGGUAUUCAACUGGACUCCCAUAUGUAGCUUGGCAGAGCAGAGUGCUCAGGGGCAGCAGAGAAAAAAAUAUUACUCAGAAAUGGAAAAGAUCAAAUGGUGGCAUUUAACAAUCCGCAAAGAAAUGGUGUCAUGGAGGAGCGUCGUCUUUCUGCUCUCCUCUGGGCUAAGAGGAUGUGAUGUUCUGUCAGCAUUGUAAUUUAUUUCUCACACAGGUCACACCUGGGCAAUCAAACCAUAUACUUUACAGUACGGCCUCUUGCUAUAAUCCUCUAUUAAAGUCAUGCACAUAUACAGCAAAUGCUCAGUGAGCUAAAGGUAAGACUAUAGGCGAAUCCAGACUUUAUACCUUCAAGACACUGCACAUAACCAUAACCCUUUAUGCAAAAUGGAAGUAUCCGCCCGUAUCCACCUUUGCCAAUCUCUUUUGUACAGAAGUCUGCGUGUUAACCUUUGAAUCCACCAUUCCCGACCUGAAUAUCACCCGAGCUCACAUUUUUCAUUACCCACAUUUAUGAAUCUCUGAGACAGCCUGAGUGGAAGUGAAUAUUUAACAUGAUUUGCAUGAACAUUACACUUAACUGCGUAUUAGAGAAGCAGAGACGUAUUCAGUGCGCACACGAGAUGACAGGAGAGGAGGCAGAAGUGAUGGAUCGAUGCGUGAUUUCUAUUCCUGCAACAGCACCAUGUAAACAUUUGUUAUGCACCACUGCAGUAUUCCUCCCUCUGAAUAGUAAAUUUCUGAAUUGUUUGAUGUGAUAAACAGAUGUUCAAGAUGGUGAGUGAGCAGCUGCCACCGUUGAUAAUCUUAGUUGCUAAUUCUCUAAUCUGUAACUUGAGUGAAAAGUCUGUUUUUGUCCUCCUAAUGACUAAAUUCACACUGCAGCUAUAAUUCAUUCACAGUAUAAUGUUAAACUGCUGUAUUCCAGGUCAUAAAACGUAUAAAGGUAUCUGACAUUUGUUAUCAUUUCCCUGCUCCCUUGUUAAUCUCUAUUUAUAGAUCAGACAUUAAAUAUGCAGAAUAUGUUCACGGGGGUGGAUUUUCAGCACAGGAGGUGUUCUGAUUUCAUUUGAAGCAUGUUUGUAGUGUGAGCGGGACUGAGCGGGACUGAGCGGGACUGAGCGGUCAUGGAUGCAGGUAAAAUGACCUGUAUUGUUAAACUGAGGCUGGAGUUUAAACUGCCUACCGUUGAAAACAGUAUGUAGUUUGUAGGCUACUGCAUAGUUUUAAAGAUUGAAGACCGUGUCGAAUAAUUGUUCAAAAGCAAAGUUGGUGGCAAAAAUGCUUCUUGAGGGAGCUAGUCUACACUCCAGCCCAGUAGGGGGCAGUAAUGCAACUAAAAGCUGCAGUAGCUCGAUACAGCAUAGUAUCGUGAUAUUUUGUCUGGUGAUAUAUCGUAUCAUCUCAUUUACUAAGUAUCGAUUUUUUUCAUAGUAAUUGCAAAGAUUAAGUCAAAUCUAUGAUAAUGUAAAAAUAAAAACAACUGUUUGUCCAGCGAGGUUAGCAAAAGUGACAUCAUAGAGCAGGAGAAAGUUAGUAGCCGAAUGCUAAAUUAGCUUAACAGUUGAAAAAAUUGUAUAGAUCGCAGUCUAUUGUAUCGCUAUACUCAAUGUAUUGCAAGAUGUUAAAAAUCGCAAUAAUAUUGUAUCGUAGCCCAAGUAUCGUGAUAAAAUCGUUUCGUGGGGCUACAAGAGAUUCCCACACUUAGUAACUUUUCAGUAGAAAAGAGGUGAAAUCACAGAUAUAUAAAAAAGACUAGAUACACCAGGGCACUGUAGCAGCCCGCUAAGAUACGUGCCUACAUGUCAGCCAUCUUGGAGGGGGCAAUGUUCCCAUUAAGGGCAUAAGAUGUACACAGCGAAUAAAUCAUAUCUUGCCUAUUUCUCAACUGAUUUUCAUGAGGUGUACUUUAUUUUAAACGUCAAAAUGUGCUAUAAAUGCAGAACAUUUAAUUUUAUAUAUUUUUAAGUGUAUUCCAAGCACAUGUUUUGAUGUUGACAAUAGAGGAAACCGCCUGAAAUCAGUUGAGAAAUUAGCAAGUUAUGAUUUACUUUCAUUGUAAAUGUAUUGCCUAGAUGGUUGCCAUGUAGGCACGCAGCUGAUAUCUAUGGGUGAAAUGAUAACUAUUCGACAGAUACCCUGAAUUUAUACAAAAGCUGGAAAACAGAUAGCCAGUAUGUUCAAUCGUCGGCCUCUCCUUCUGUACAAUGUUUCUGUCCACAUGCUAACACAGGAAUGGUAACACUUAUAAUGCAGGAGAGAAAACAAGCUGUCAGGCAUGUUUGAUUGUUAAACGCAGCAGCUGAUUUCUGUGAAAACCUCUCAAUCGUUAGGUGAGGAGAAAUGAUGGAGAUAGGACUUUGUGAUUCUUUUUUCCUCCCCCCUGUUUGUACUUAGUUUUUAAUAUUUUUGAAGAAGGCAAUUCAGAUGGAAGAUGAAUCACUGAGUGACAACGUGACGGAUGCAUCUCUGUUUUUCAGGAUGAAUGAUGCAGCCGGAGAGGAUCACAGAGAGCGAAAUGUGAAACCCAGCAGCGGCUCAUAUAGAAGCUUUCCUGCUCGCUCCAGUUCCAGCCCUUCUUAUAUUUUUAUCAACCUCACUCCCACUAUUACAGUCACACCUCUGGCUAUUACACCGCAGACCUACCGGCAUGUCAGAAAAUGACUGGCAUUAAAUAUGACACAGUUGCCAUCAGAGCAGAGAGAGGGUCAUUUUCCUCUCGAGUGAAGUAGAUCCAAAAGUACAGGUUCCCAAAGUUCAUCCGUUAAUACUAAUUGCGUAAUUGCACAGACUCUGAAUGGUUAAAUAAUUUUAAAGAAGUGCUUUUCCCAGUUUCCUAGAGUCCAUCUUCUCAACUAGACAAAGCAAAACCCAAAGAUUUUUCUCACCGAAGGGGCUGGAUGAGGAUGAUUUCCACUGCUGGGACCAGAGGAAAGAUAAAAAUCAAGUGACUCACUGACUUUAUUUCAGUCUUUAGGACUUAAAUUUACUCCUCAAAGGGGUCCUGCGUGGGGAGUAGUACUGUCUGAAGUUGCAGAGACUUGCAGCGCUCAACAUUUUUGAUAGGUCAAGCACUCACUGCAUUGGGGAGACCUCUUAAUCCCUUGAAAGUGGUCCCUUGGGGUUCGAAGUCCUGGAUUCUUUCAGAGGAAAUGAGGAACAGAAGUAGUGCAUCACUUCAUGUCUCUCUAAGACUCUGGAAGUAGAAAAUGUGGUUUUUGUUUUGAGGAAUGAUUGAAACAGCGAACUCCAAAUAGUUUGUUAUAAACUGAUCCAUUAAUCACUUGAUUCAGUUUGGCUGCAGCUCUACUCCCACUGAAUUUCCAGAAGUCAGCUGGAUUGAGAUGACUGUACAACGCCAGAUUGCACAGAUGUACUAUUUCUCUUUAGUCUAAUAAACCAAACAGUCUGUCUCUCGGAGUUCCCCUGAAUCACUUCCUGUUCUUCUGACUGUAACUUCAGAUAUUUUCCAGCACAUCGGGGAUCUGCCGAGGUUAAAUCACUUGGUUCCAGACAAACGGUUUACUGCCCACAGCAAUGACAAGUACAGGAUUAAGAAGUCAUGCAGAAAAGGCUAACAUUGAACAUUGUUUGGAGUUGAGAUAUGUCUUUCCCAGGAGAUUUUCUGUCUGUUCGCCUACGGCAGCACGACCUGCCCACUCUUGGCUGUGUGCUGCCACUGCACUGGGAUCCUCCGUGGGGUUAUUGAUCCAAGCCUGUCCACCCACCAGAGGAUCCGAUAGCAGUUAACAUGAUGCAGAGUCCACAUAUUUAGAAGCCGGAGGGUAUCAGCGGAUCAAACUCUCAUCGGCAUAAUUGAGAGUGAUAGGGAUCAGUUAGAGCCAGGUAGACAUUGAUUAGGAGUGUGUAUAAACAGAUAGAGAGAUCAAUGGAGACGGGUCAAUGGAAAUUAUAAGCAUUUUAACAAGCACCAUUGAGUGACAGCAGGAGUUGAGAGGUGUUAUGGAUUGAUGCUGAGGCUAGUUUUACUGAGAGCACAUUAAAGCAAAUCAUCCUUAUUUGACAGAUUACUGAGCAUCAAACAUGUUGGGGCACAAACGCCAAUUUCCAAUAACAGCAAAACUAGGUCAUAAGUAUUUAUUCCUCUGAUCAAAGCUCCUGUGUGGAGUUUUUUAUGUCUAUACAAUAAACUGAAAUUCAAAUUGAUGCCUUUAUGUGAGAUUCAAAUGCAAACAAGACCAUCAGUAACAAGACGGAUGAUUGUCACAUUGUAUUUUUUAGUGCAAGUGGGUUGAGCAGCAGAAAAAACAGCUGAUUUAAUGUAGUUUUUCACUUAACUAAUACGUUUGGUUAGCAAAUUAUUAGAAUAAGAUUUUUCCAUGUGUAGUACAAGAGGAGUCAAUGCUGCUCUGUUCCCAAGGGGGCGCCAAAUUCAAAGUUCUUUACGGGAGCUUUAAAUAGGUGGAUCUAUGAGACCACUUCUUGUCAGAUAAAUUGCACUGUUCACACUUACAUGAAAAAAUCAGAUAUGUGUCACAUAUGGUUAAAAAAUCGGAAUUGACCUGCAGUGUGAACAUAGCCAAAGUCUCAUGCACAAUAUGAUGCAGCAGACAAUAUUCGGCACGAAAAUAUAAGGCCUUUUAAAUGAAUUAUUGAUUUAUUGUUUUUUUUAAUAUUUUUUUCAUUUCAUGAACCUGGAAAAACAAAUACAUCUAUACAACAUUUUAAAAUUCAAGAGAUGUGAAAAAAAAAGGUUAGGGAUUGAGUGAUUCAUUUCGGACACAGCCUUAGUUUUUCCCUGGUUUUGUUAUUUGAGUGAAUUUUCAUUGUGAUUUGUCCUCAGUGUUCCUGUUCCGCUGUAGUGUUGUCUUGUGAGUUUUCAGUUUGUCAUUGACCCUGUUCCUGUUCUCUGUGUUUUAUUCUUUAUAUCUGUUUUAAGUGUUUCCUGUUUUAUUUUGUAGUAGUUGAUUCCUUGUGUUUCUAGUCUGGUUUUACUUUCCUAGUUUUCCAACCUUUGUUAAUCAGUUAACGAGUUUCACCUGUGUCUCGUCUGCCUCACCUGUUGCUCGUUAUCCAGUGUGUAUAUAGUCAGUGUCUUCCCCUCUGUCCCUGUUGGUUCCCUCUAUGUUUGUCGUGUACGCUUAUGCCUGUGUCCCCAAAAUGGAUUUUGCCUUUUGGAUUUUUCUCUUUUUGUUGCUUUUUUAAACAUUUUGUUCUUUUUAAAUAAAUCCUUUUUUAUUGUUCUGCAUUUUGGGUCCUUCCCUGUUGAAGUUUUUGUCUUCAAUACAGCCUUGAAGUCUCCACAGAAACCUAGGCUGCUAUGGCUUAAGUUUGACACAGCUAAAUAAUUCCACUGUCCAGCCUGGACACUCAGACCACCUGUGGUUCUGUACUGAACAUAGCUUGUGUUACAUCUAUCUCCAGCCCUUCACUUUUACAGCUUCUACUACUACUUUUACUGUAGCUGCGUUCAAAUUUAUUAUGUCUAAUAACGUUUCUGUUGUGUCCUCUCAUGAAUCACUGUGUGCACUUUUACUACUUCUCCCCUGCAAAGAAAUAUUUUACACUAACAAGCCUUUGUGUCUGUUUGAUUAUUUCUUGGCCUACACAUCACUUCUUUAUUAGCGAAUUUACAUAUAACUGGUGUAAUGUUGGCAUCUCAUCAUUCAUUUUCUCUUUCUCUGAUAGCCCGCUCUACAUCAUUACACUUGAAUUUGGAGUGGUGCUCAAUCAAGCCUCAGGGUGUUAAUAAAAUAUGCCGGUUACUGAGAUGAGAUGAAUAAUCACAGGAGUCAAGUACAAUUUCCAACCCCAGCGGGUGGAGCGUGGGCAGUUUACGUCACUCUGCAGAGGAGGAGGUGUGCAUGUGUGUGUGUGUGGUGGUGGGGUUGUCUCGUGUCGGCUGUCUAUCAGGGUGGUGGGAUGUAAGGGGAAGGCAGGCUUGGCAUGGUGCACCAAACGAUAAGGUUUCUGCACCACUGUGGACAGCACUGAGGGAUUGUGGGAGAGCGCUUAUCAGUCUGUGUCAGGGUCUAUCAGCAUCUGUCAUGUUUACUCCUCAGGUGAGCUGGCUGCUGGCUGACUGCUCUGCCAAGGCUCCUUCAUAUCAGCCUACUGAGAGCAGACCAGGAGCACAAACAGAUACCCACCCACUGCAGCUGCAGACCAAAUCUCUCUCUUUUUGACCAAGUUUACUUCAACGCCUAAUCUCGCUUUUUUUAACUAUGAAACCCCUCCAGAACUCUUUUCACCAAUGUGCCACCACCCUUUCGUAUGAUAUCGACAGAACUCAUCAAAAUGAGGCCUUGACUUAUCUCUGCAUACGCUGCCUUUUAUCCAGUCAAAUAUUAUAACUCUCUGGUCUCUCGAUAUAUCCACACGGCACCAUUUUCCACUGGUUUACUCUCAAGGUCGGACACUGAAAUAGUGAUAAUGAUUAGACUGCUGGCAGUCGAAUACCAUGGACUAUCUGGCAAUUGUUCAUUUCACUGCUUCCAGAGUGAUCAGCGUGUGACCGGAUUCUGGCACGAGUAAUGAUAGGAGUGCUGGCCACUGACAUUAAUUGUACAAAGGAAACUGCCCAGGAGGGCUGCAAACUAAUCGAAAUCAGGUUCAUUGCAAGUACGUUUACACAAAGCGGGCUUCUGGUGCAAAAAAAAACAAAGAACAUAAAAGUAGAAAAUAAAGUUGAAAGCUACCAUCAUGGGUGUAGUGAUUUGAAAUGAGCCUCAUACGGUCGCACCAAAAUAUAUGUAGCGAUUUGAAAUGAGCCUCACCAGGCCGCACCAAAAUAAUACUUGGCGAUUGGAAUUUAUAAUAAAUGUCUGAAGAUUAAUAAUCUCAAAUUAUGACAUUUAUGCACUCGUUGAAAGGGGCACCACCCACCCUUAAUGGUGGGAAAAUAAAGAAAACAAAAGUUUAAUUCAGAAAUCAAACAUCAAGUCAGUUUUAAUUAAUCAGUCUUAAUUAAUCAGUCUUAAUUAAUCAGUCUCAUAUCUUAAGUCGAAAUUCUAAUUUCAGGGACUCCACUUCUGGAAGAACACUAACAGACAGGAACUUAGAAAAAUAAUGAUCUGUUUAUUACAGGAUAAAUGAUGGUACAACACACAUGCAAUAAAUGAUAAGAUGAUGAAGAUAAAUAAUAAUAGGUGAAUAAAUAAAGAUUCUGAGUCAGGCUAGGAGCACUAAAGUUAAUGAUAGUGAGUGAAUAUGCGCGAACAUAUUAACCUACACUAACUUUGGUGUCGAGAUAAACUCGGGUGUAGAUUUGGAGGAAUCUAAGAUCACCAGAAAUAGGUGGAUAUCUGAGUUAUGAACGCGUGAGACAGCAUCAGCCCUGUCUGGAGCUCUGGAGGUUUGCAUACUUAAGUGAGACUGGUCCUUGGAGAAGAUGGAGCAGGUUCCGAAGGUCCGGGGCUACUGGCGGUUCGAGCGGUUCAGCUCAGAAGACGACUGAAGUCAGCCGAAGGAUGAGCCAGGAGUUGCAGCACUCGGGCCCGAAGCAAAGCCAGCGCCUGUGGAUCCUGUGGAUGCUCGUUUGGGUACUUCUUUGGUCUCACUCAAAAACUCUGGCACAGAGGAUGACCUGGGCCUGCUGGGUUGCGUUCAGAGGUGACUUUGAAAUCACGCAGAAAACUCAGAAAAACGAGGCUCGAAGAGCAGAGAAAACUUUCAAAAAUGGCUUCGCGAAAUUAAAGAAAAAUCAAUCAAAGGCUUAAUCUUGAAUUGCUAUGCACACAAAAAGUUGAAGUUUCAAACUUGAACUAAGACGAUGUUAAAGAAAAAUCAACGUGAAUCAACACGUGGCGUAAAACUUAGAAGACUAAGAAAAAGUUCUAAGAGAAAACAAAGAAACGCACCACAGAAGGGUGUGGACAGAAGAGAAGGGGCAUAAGAGCCGGGGACAAGAGAGUCAGCAGAAGAGCAGAAGCAUAAGAGGAAAGUAAGAGGCAUAAGAGAGUGAGCAACCCCACUUCACUGGUUUUAUCUUCUCACACUGGGUGUGUCUCCGGCGUGUGGGUGUGAGGAGACAGAGGAGGGGUCGUGUGGUCUUUGAUUAUUUGAUCUAACUUAUUCUUUUGGCUGGCAAAAGAGUCAGAUCUGAUACUCACUCACUAUGAUUAAUAUCAUUGAAUGUUUGGUUUCAUGAUAAAUAAUUUGAUACUAAACACAUAUGAAUGAAGUGUAGGAUCACAUCAAACAUUCUCAUUAUGUUUUAAGUAUCACAUUGAACAUGCUAAAUUACUCUGAAAUGAAACAGAUAGUAACACAUGGAAACUGUGAACAACAAAAGAGUAAAUACAUGUGAAUGAACGUCAUCAUGAUUAAUAAUGGAUUCUAAAUACUCACAUUAAGGUUAUUCAAUGACAUUAUAACCACCUAAUGGUUAAAAAUACUAAAUAAACGAUUAGAAUAUAGACCAAACAUUUCUAAACUAUUUCUGUGUUCAUAGAGUAAAGUUAUGAUCCAUAGUCAAUAAAUGUAACUCUUAAAAGUUCAUGAAACAGUCUGAAAAGCUGUUGGUCUAAAGAACUAAAGAGCGAUAACUCGGCUUCUGGAGCACAUAGAAAAAUGGGAAACAUCUCAUUUUAACACAAAUUUCAUGAUUAGACAGAUUAGUACAUUGCUGAAUGCAUAAGAUGUCAUGAUCAGUCAUUUGUAUUCUUUCACCAAAGGAAUGCAGUCUUUAUCAGUGUAUGGUCGAGCAGGGUUUUACGACCGAGGUCUGGAGGUCAGUGUCCCCCCUUAUCCUGGGGUCCGUAUGUUCACACACUUUAAGACGCUAAAUCUCAAAUGGGAGAUCUGGGUUAAUGUUUAUUUAGAUGGUCAGCAAAUGGAGUCAGUUUGAAAGGUAAUAAAAACUCUGUCUCUGUUCGCCGAACUGACCAAUCCUGAAGAGUCAGAGGUUUAGUCAACCUCCGGUUGGGUCACUUAUUUAACCUGAAAGGGCAAACACGUCUGGAAAGAUUUAUAUCCUGUUUCCUGGGACCAGAUAAGGAAACUUUCCUGUAAGGAAUGUGUGGGUUUCACAUCCAGGGUUGUCUUGAUUGCUACAGUCCCCCCUUCGUCACGGUGGUCCUGUCCAUGGAGCAUCGGGACGACGAGUAGACAACCAUGAAGCAGCAGCAGGUGUAUGCAAAUAGGACUGAUGCGUCUCGUCAUCACUAUGUGAAUCACUAGUACUGCUUUGAGAUAAAAUUAAGCAUGCAUUAAGCUAUCAAAUAAAAUAGUCUUGUUGUUAGACUUUUCUCAGUUAACUAUUGGUAGACUAAUGUGAAAGAAAAUCUCCUAAUUUUCAGUAUUAAUGAGAUUUAGGAAAGCACUAUUUAGUCUGAAUGCUAACUGGAUCUAAAGCUAUAGCUGUUUUUCAUGCUUGCUGGAGAAGUCUGAAAGUUCCAUUUCAGUUUCAAAAAUGGUUAAGACUUAGGUGGAAAAGAAAUGUCUGCUAUAGACAUAUUAACCAUCUGUGUAUGAGCAUAGUCAACCUGAAUCACAAACAUCAAAAGUUUACUGCACAGAGUUUCUCUUAAACUUUGUCUGUUAAACUUGGGGAUGAUGCUCUUAUUGGUUUGACUAAUUAUCUGCUGUUGAGUCUGAAAUUUGUCAAUCUGAGUCUUAGUGACAGAAAUUUCAGGUUUUAAUCUGUUCAUGGGAUAUUUGACAGCUGACAAGCUGACUAUAUUGACAGAGGAGAGACAAAUGCUAACAAAGAAAGCAGCAACUGGUAUUGCAGUCAUCAAUGUAUCACCACAGCAUUUGGAUAUCUUAUUGGAGUCAUUUAGCUUUGGCUGAGUGACUUCUGCUUUCGCAGGACUCACACCUUCAUGACUCCGCAGUGUUAAUCUCAGUGGUUAGCUGAGUGGUCAUGUUUAUUCACCUUCAAAGUGGAUGAAACCGAUUGAGGUGGAUAAUAAGAUCGUCGUUUCUGAGAGUGUGAUUUACUCUGAUUCUGCCAGUCAUUCACCCCACUUUGGCGGUGUUGAUGGUUUUUCCUUUGUCUGGGACAAAACCCACCGUGACGGGAGUCUGAAUAACAACAGUUGGUCUCAAAGUUUACCUGGCAUUGGUCUGAGUCAGACCUGGGCCUUGGUGUGUAACUUUGACCUUUGUGAGUUUGUUGAGGUCGAAAAGGUUUUGGAGGCCUGGUUAACCACUCAUUUGGAGGCUUAUUGGAGCCUGAAAAUACACAGUCUGAAGCUUCGUUCAGCUCCACGGGCAGUGAUUUUGUCUCCAUAGCCAAGAGAGUAACGGGCUCUGCUUUCUUAGCCAAAGUUUGUCGUUGUUUGGCAAAACCUUUUACAGCAAGUUCACGAAGCUGUCGGCUAGUCAAAGUAUUUGGACAAGCUAAGACGCCAAGGUGAUGACUGGUGGUAGGGUGGAGGUUCUGGACGAACAGCGUUUUGAAGUUCAAGUCCUCCUCCAUUUCUGGUUCAUUUCGGAAACCAAAGUAAGCUUCGCGUAAGCGGUUGUAAUAAUGUUGGGGAGAUUCUAAUCUCCCUUGUUUAAUAGACAGAGCAGCAGAGAGGCCUGUCUGGGUCAAAUGAUCAGAAAACUCUUCAAUUAAUGCUUGGCAGAGCAAGUCAUAAUUAUUUCUGACAUGAUAAGGCUGUCGUUCAAGGAAACUGCUAACCUCUCGACUUGACGUUGCCUUAAUAAGGUAGAUUUUGUCAUCAAUGGUUGCACCUGGAAAUUUCCUCAGGUAAAAGUCAAUGUCUUUCAAGUAGGUGCAGGUGUCAGUAGCACCUUGGUGCUCAGGUUCAAAGCGUGCUAUGUUGCGAGCAAUUUUGUCAAGAUCCCUGUCUGAGGGAGAUGGUAAGAAGCCAUCAUGAGGAGGAGAGUAGGACUCUUGAUUUAAGGAUGACCUCUCAGGGUCAAGCAGGGUCCUGUCAUGAUGCUGAGAGAGAUACUUAAGAGUUGGUUUGGAAGGAAGUGAUGGCGCUCUCUCAGGAGGCUGAUCACCUAUCAUUUCUUUAAGAAACGUUUGCUCCAUGCGUUCUCUUUGGGCUCGACCUGACUGGAGGGAGCAUUGUAACUCUCUUUGGGCAUCUUCAAGUUCUUUGUCUGUCUUUUCUUGCCGUUCUUGACAAAGAAUUAACUGUCUUUGAGCUAUCUGGAGCUGGUGCUGUAAGGUAGAAGUUUGCUUCUCCUUAACUUCAAGAGCUUCAGCACGCACUUUGACCAGUGCUUUCAAAGCUUUUACAUCUCCUGUUGCUUGCUCUAGCAGGGAUUCUGACUGUAUCAGAUCCUCUGUGGUCUUAGCAAGCUGCUUAUUCGUGUCAUCAAGUUCUUUCUCCUUUUUGUAAAGGGUCUCAUUAAGUCUUUCAAUCUUGUCUUUAAGAUCAAGAUUUUCUUCAUGACUUAUCAGUGAGGGAAGCUUUGACGCUUCACAUCUGACACUGUGUUUUCCUAAAACACUUAGAGACUUCUUAGUCUCUUCUAGCGUCUUUUUCAGAGCGCUGUUUUCGUCUUUUUGUGCCUUUAUCUUUGCUAAAGCGCAUUCCAGCAAGUAGUCUUUAUACUCAAGCUGAGAAGACAUCAUGACAGACAUGCAUCUAGUGAGCUCUUUGUCACGAAGUGUCGUGGUUAAGGCUGUUUCCAGUAAGUCAGCCAUUUCAUCCUCCGGAUUGGAGGGUUUGGCCUUUUGAAUCUUAGUCAUGUACUGAGGUAUCAGCUGACUAGUCAAGUUUGCCAACACUGUGGGUAUGUCCCUCAGGGGGUCUCCCUGGCUGGACUCUUUUGUGUUAGGCAUGUUUGGUUUUGGUAAAGAGGUGCAGCUGGUUGGUUGAUGAGUUUGAGUUGACUUAAAAUAAAAGGAAGAAGCAAAAUAUCAAAUUAAGUGGGUUAAUCGACUUAAUUUAUCAGUGCUUGAUAAAGAGAAAGAGCCUAUCUGAGUAGAUCUCUAAUGGAGAGAAAAAUAACAUAAAGUUAAAUUCAUUUCAAUGAAAAUUGAAAGAAAAACAAGGUGAAAUAAUGUUAAAUUAAAUUUAACAUCAGAUACAGAACCAUUGAAUAAAGGGUUCAAUUUGUCUCCGUGUUGCAGAGAUCAGCAAAGAUUAAAUAAACUGCCUGAUGCAGUAGGAUGAAUUGGAAAAGAUCUAUGAAAUUGUCAAUUUAAGGAAUUAACUCUGAAAUUAAUUCACAAAUUGCAAUAAAUCCAAAGGUUCAACUACCCAAAUCCAUCUGGAAUGUUAAAAGAAAUUUCAAAUAUUAAUUAAUUUGUGCAUUAAUUAAUUAAUCUUAUGAGGAGGGUUAAUACAUUCAUGUAUUAUAGGGAACAGUAAACUGCUCAAUGGUGUGAUAAGUAACAACAAGAUCAGGUGAUUGAUUCAAGGAGUUACUUUAUCAAUACAUUAUGGAGGCUCUUAUAACAAAGAUAAAAAUCAAAAAUCAAUGAUCAAUGAUUUAGAAUAAGCACAUCAAACUUCAUCAACCAAGUCAAUCACUUGAGUUAUGUCUGUAGAGUGUUACACACUGACUACAGAGAGGCAGUACAGCUAGCUGAUACUGCAGGCAGAUAAUAGCAGUGUUAGCUCAAUACCAAAAGCAACCAUGUGGGGCAGUAUGGAGUUGGGAGAACUGCACAAGCUCAACACAAGUGGAGAAGAAGAAGCAAAGAGGAAACAGUCAUCCAACUAGCCUCUUGUGGCUGUGAGGAGUUGGGAAGUCUGCAGGAAGGGGCCUUUAGGCUCUGCCUCCUCGAAGGGCCUUAUCUGCUUAAGGCCAAAUGGUCAGUCUCUACACUGACAACAAAGGGUUAACAUUUCACAGCAGGAUCGUCUGCACCCUCAAACAUAGAACUUUACACCAUCUGCUCAGGCAGAUUGGUUCAAUAAAAUCAUUUACAGGAACAAGGAUCAAAGUGGCAAAUCCUUAAACAGCAGAUUCAACUGCAGACUUUAAAAUCACAAAUGCUGCGAUUUGUGAUCACGAAUUUUGUCUGAAUUCAUUCAAACAACAACCUCCCACUGUUACAGUGGUUUCCUGUGACAGGUAGCUAAUCUGUCAGGGGAAAGGAGGAAAUCUGAAUCCCGUAUAGUUACUAGAACCUCGUAGCAGACUACAGAGACUUCAGGGGCUUGAAACCACAGCUCGGAGCAUCGCGAACACUGGGUUCAGCCAAAGGCCUUAAAUACAAGCGUACGGCGACGCAACAAUCGUGCACUUAAAUAUUGGACAGUCUAGACAGAGCAGAGGAGUCAGUCUCACUGCUACUCAGAACAACAUUUCACGCUGUCCAGCUCAAACACAGACUACAGGCAUGUAGUACAAAAGUGUGUGAAACACAGAGCAUAAAGGUUUUAUGCAUAGAUCAGGAAAACAUCAGAACUUAGUCAAGCAACUUCAGCAAGCAUAGCAUUGAUUGUGAUCAAGUCUAAAAUAGCCUGGAAAUAAGUUUCUCUCAUCAAUUUGGAAGGCUAAGUUUUAGGUUGUCUGUUAGUAUCCAGAAGUUUUGUUUGAAACGCCUCACGCAGGGGCACCAAAAUAUAUGUAGUGAUUUGAAAUGAGCCUCAUACGGUCGCACCAAAAUAUAUGUAGCGAUUUGAAAUGAGCCUCACCAGGCCGCACCAAAAUAAUACUUGGCGAUUGGAAUUUAUAAUAAAUGUCUGAAGAUUAAUAAUCUCAAAUUAUGACAUUUAUGCACUCGUUGAAAGGGGCACCACCCACCCUUAAUGGUGGGAAAAUAAAGAAAACAAAAGUUUAAUUCAGAAAUCAAACAUCAAGUCAGUUUUAAUUAAUCAGUCUUAAUUAAUCAGUCUUAAUUAAUCAGUCUCAUAUCUUAAGUCGAAAUUCUAAUUUCAGGGACUCCACUUCUGGAAGAACACUAACAGACAGGAACUUAGAAAAAUAAUGAUCUGUUUAUUACAGGAUAAAUGAUGGUACAACACACAUGCAAUAAAUGAUAAGAUGAUGAAGAUAAAUAAUAAUAGGUGAAUAAAUAAAGAUUCUGAGUCAGGCUAGGAGCACUAAAGUUAAUGAUAGUGAGUGAAUAUGCGCGAACAUAUUAACCUACACUAACUUUGGUGUCGAGAUAAACUCGGGUGUAGAUUUGGAGGAAUCUAAGAUCACCAGAAAUAGGUGGAUAUCUGAGUUAUGAACGCGUGAGACAGCAUCAGCCCUGUCUGGAGCUCUGGAGGUUUGCAUACUUAAGUGAGACUGGUCCUUGGAGAAGAUGGAGCAGGUUCCGAAGGUCCGGGGCUACUGGCGGUUCGAGCGGUUCAGCUCAGAAGACGACUGAAGUCAGCCGAAGGAUGAGCCAGGAGUUGCAGCACUCGGGCCCGAAGCAAAGCCAGCGCCUGUGGAUCCUGUGGAUGCUCGUUUGGGUACUUCUUUGGUCUCACUCAAAAACUCUGGCACAGAGGAUGACCUGGGCCUGCUGGGUUGCGUUCAGAGGUGACUUUGAAAUCACGCAGAAAACUCAGAAAAACGAGGCUCGAAGAGCAGAGAAAACUUUCAAAAAUGGCUUCGCGAAAUUAAAGAAAAAUCAAUCAAAGGCUUAAUCUUGAAUUGCUAUGCGCACAAAAAGUUGAAGUUUCAAACUUGAACUAAGACGAUGUUAAAGAAAAAUCAACGUGAAUCAACACGUGGCGUAAAACUUAGAAGACUAAGAAAAAGUUCUAAGAGAAAACAAAGAAACGCACCACAGAAGGGUGUGGACAGAAGAGAAGGGGCAUAAGAGCCGGGGACAAGAGAGUCAGCAGAAGAGCAGAAGCAUAAGAGGAAAGUAAGAGGCAUAAGAGAGUGAGCAACCCCACUUCACUGGUUUUAUCUUCUCACACUGGGUGUGUCUCCGGCGUGUGGGUGUGAGGAGACAGAGGAGGGGUCGUGUGGUCUUUGAUUAUUUGAUCUAACUUAUUCUUUUGGCUGGCAAAAGAGUCAGAUCUGAUACUCACUCACUAUGAUUAAUAUCAUUGAAUGUUU
rnacentral:lncRNA from 1 species